rnacentral:rRNA from 1 species
GGGGAGGUAGUGACAAUAAAUACUGAUGCAGGGCUCUUUAGGGUCUUGCAAUUGGAAUGAGUACAAUUUAAAUCCCUUAACGAGGAACAAUUGGAGGGCAAGUCUGGUGCCAGCAGCCGCGGUAACUCCAGCUCCAAUAGCGUAUAUUAAAGUUGUUGUGGUUAAAAAGCUCGUAGUUGAACCUUGGGCCUGGCCGUCCGGUCCGCCUCACCGCGUGCACUGGCACGGCCGGGCCUUCCCACCGCGGAAUCGCAUGCCCUUUACUGGGCGUGUCGGGGAAGCGGUACUUUUACUGUGAAAAAAUUAGAGUGCUCUAAGCAGGCCUAUGCUCGAAUACAUUAGCAUGGAAUAAUAGAAUAGGACAGGCGUUCUAUUUUGUUGGUUUCUAGGACGUCUGUAAUGAUUAACAGAAACAAUCGGGGGCGUCAGUAUUGCAUCGUCAGAGGUGAAAUUCUUAGAUCGACGCAAGACUAACUACUGCGAAAGCAUUCGCCAAGGGUGUUUUCAUUAAUCAGGAACGAAAGUUAGGGGAUCGAAGACGAUCAGAUACCGUCGUAGUCUUAACCAUAAACUAUGCCGACUAGGGAUCGGGCGGUGUUAAUUUUUGACCCGCUCGGCACCUUACGAGAAAUCUUAAGUGCUUGGGCUCCAGGGGGAGUAUGGUCGCAAGGCUGAAACUUAAAGAAAUUGACGGAAGGGCACCACCAGGGGUGGAACCUGCGGCUUAAUUUGACUCAACACGGGGAAACUCAUCAGGUUAGGAUAUUUUUAGGAUUGACAGAUUGAGAGCUCUUUCAUGAUUAAAUAGAUGGUGGUGCAUGGCCGUUCUUAGUUCGUGGUUAUGAACUGUCAGCUCAAUUGCGAUAACGAACGAGACCGCGACUGCUAAAUAGCCCGCGCCGCCCCGGCGGCGUGCCGGCUUCUUAGUGGGACUAUCGGCUCAAGCCGAUGGAGGUACGCGUCAAUAACAGGUCUGUGAUGCCCUUAGAUAUCCUGAGCCGCACGCGCGUUACACUGGCAGGGCCAGCGAGUUUUUUUCCUUGGCCGAGAGGCCCGGGUAAUCUUGUUAAACCCUGCCGUGCUGGGGACAGGGCAUUGUAAUUAUUGCCCUCGAACGAGGAAUCCCUAGUAAGCGCGAGUCAUCAGCUCGCGUUGAUUACGUCCCUGCCCUUUGUACACACCGCCCGUCGCUACUACCGAUUGGACGGCUUAGUGAGGCCUUCGGACUGGACGGCGGAGGCGGGCAACCGCCACCGCUGACCGGAAAGUUGUACGAACUUGGUCGUCUAGAGGAAGUAAAAGUCGUAACAAGGUCUCCG